GCCCAUAUGAUGUAGUGGUUUGAAUGUUGGACUACAACUCUGGAGAUCAGAGUUUGAUUCCCUGCCUGGCCA